UACGUAGGGUGCGAGCGUUAAUCGGAAUUACUGGGCGUAAAGCGUGCGCAGGCGGUCCGUUGUGUCGGUGGUGAAAUCCCCGGGCUUAACCUGGGAACUGCAUUUGUGACUGCAUCGCUGGAGUGCGGCAGAGGGGGAUGGAAUUCCGCGUGUAGCAGUGAAAUGCGUAGAUAUGCGGAGGAACACCGAUGGCGAAGGCAAUCCCCUGGGCCUGCACUGACGCUCAUGCACGAAAGCGUGGGGAGCAAACAGG
rnacentral:rRNA from 1 species